rnacentral:tRNA from 1 species
AGGGGGUUAGUUAAUUAAUAUAACGUUAAUAUGUCAUAUUAAAAUUAUUAUAAAAAUAAUACCCCCUA